GUUAGUCAUAUCAAGCACCAACUGAAGUCUGGUAGUAUCAUUGGGCCAUCCGUAACCCAUUGUGUCACCGUUCAAUCCAUCAGUUCUCCCUUUUUGCGAGUUCAUAUCCCUUUAGUCCAAUUGAGUGAUCCUUCCCUAUUUUAGGGCGUAUCAAGUGGUAUCAGAGCCACUCAACCGGUACUAUCUAUCCAUCUUCUAAUCUUUCAUUUUCUAAACACGUCUUCUUCUUUCUAUCUUAAAUCCGGGCCACUACCU
rnacentral:lncRNA from 1 species